rnacentral:rRNA from 1 species
UUGAACGCUGGCGGCAUGCCUUACACAUGCAAGUCGAACGGCAGCACGGGGGCAACCUUGGUGGCGAGUGGCGAACGGGUGAGUAAUAUAUCGGAACGUACCCUAGAGUGGGGGAUAACGUAGCGAAAGUUACGCUAAUACCGCAUACGAUCUACGGAUGAAAGUGGGGGCUCGCAAGACCCCAUGCUCAUGGAGCGGCCGAUAUCUGAUUAGCUAGUUGGUGAGGUAAAGGCUCACCAAGGCGACGAUCAGUAGCUGGUCUGAGAGGACGACCAGCUACACUGGGACUGAGACACGGCGCAGACUCCUACGGGAGGCAGCAGUGGGGAAUUUUGGACAAUGGGGGCAACCCUGAUCCAGCAAUGCCGCGUGAGUGAAGAAGGCCUUCGGGUUGUAAAGCUCUUUUGUCAGGGAAGAAACGGUGAAGGCUAAUAUCCUUUGCUAAUGACGGUACCUGAAGAAUAAGCACCGGCUAACUACGU